rnacentral:rRNA from 1 species
UACGAAGGGGGCUAGCGUUGUUCGGAAUUACUGGGCGUAAAGCGCGCGCAGGCGGUCCUUUAAGUCAGGGGUGAAAGCCCAGAGCUCAACUCUGGAACUGCCUUUGAAACUAGAGGACUUGGGUACGGGAGAGGUGAGUGGAAUUCCGAGUGUAGAGGUGAAAUUCGUAGAUAUUCGCAAGAACACCAGUGGCGAAGGCGGCUCACUGGCCCGGUACUGACGCUGAGGUGCGAAAGCGUGGGGAGCAAACAGG